GACGAACGCUGGCGGCGUGCUUAACACAUGCAAGUCGAACGGAAAGGCCCUGCUUUUGUGGUGUGCUCGAGUGGCGAACGGGUGCGUAACACGUGAGUAACCUGCCCUUGACUUUGGUAUAACUUCAGGAAACUGGGGCUAAUACCGGAUAGGAGCUCCUGCUGCAUGGUGGGGGUUGGAUAGUUUCGCCGGUUGGGGCUGGAUUAGCGGCUUAUCAGCUUGUUGGUGGGGUAGUGGCUUCCCAAGGCUUAGACGGGUAGCCGGCAUGGGAGGGUGAACGGGCACAUGGGGACUAAGGUAGGCCCCAGACUGCAAUGGGAGGCAGUGGUGGGGAAUAUUGCACAAUGGGAGGAAGCCGGAGGAAGCAACGCCCCGUGUGGGAAGACGGCCUUCGGGUUGUAAACCGCUGUCGCCUAUGACCAAGCAGGAGUGACGGUAAUGAGUGAAGAAGCACCGGCUAACUACGUG
rnacentral:rRNA from 1 species